ACGGGUGAGUAACACGUAAGGAAUCUGCCCUAAGGUGGGGAAUAACUAUCCCAACGGAUAGCUAAUACCGCAUAAGGAUGGAGGUGGCAUCACCUCUUCUCGAAAGAUUUAUCGCCUUAGGAUGACCUUGCGGCCCAUUAGCUUGUUGGCGGUGUAACGGACCACCGAGGCGACGAUGGGUAUCCGGCCUGAGAGGGUGUACGGACACAUUGGGACUGAGAUACGGCCCAGACUCCUACGGGAGGCAGCAGUAGGGAAUUUUGCGCAAUGGGGGAAACCCUGACGCAGCAACGCCAUGUGUGGGAUGAAGCAUUUCGGUGUGUAAACCACUGUCAGCAGGGAAUAAAUGGUCUCUUCGGAGGCAGUUGAAUGUACCUGCAAAGGAAGCCCCGGCUAACUUCGUGCCAGCAGCCGCGGUAAUACGAGGGGGGCAAAUGUUGUUCGGAAUCACUGGGCGUAAAGGGAGCGUAGGCGGACUUUUAAGUUAGGUGUUUAAUCCCGGGGCCCAACCCCGGACAGGCACCUAAAACUGGGAGUCUUGAAUAGUGGAGAGGACGGCGGAAUUGGGGGUGUAGCGGUGGAAUGCGUAGA
rnacentral:rRNA from 1 species